GAGUGAUAAGAUGCUAUAUAACAGAGAUAAUUUUUAGUGAUCACUAAGAUUUUAUAGUCACUUCAAUAGAACUUUGAGAAAAUUCAUUCUGCUUAUUUUACCAUUUAUAUAGGAUAUACUAAUUUUUUAGGCUGAGACGAUCAUUGACCAUGCACCAUUCUUUGGUGGUGGCUUACAACCAAUCUAUUUAAUCAUUUUAUCUUUUAUCUCUCAAAAAAAGUUAUUGAUCUCAU
rnacentral:lncRNA from 1 species